AGCCUAGAUCAGACCUGAGUUGAGGGAAGAUGACUGCAAGGUGCAAAUUGUUUACUGAAGAAAUUCAUCAUAUAGCUGGUCAAGUGUUUGGAUUCUGUUAGAAGAUUGAGAACAAGGUGAUAAAAUGCAUCAUUCCAGCAUCACAGGAUUUUGAUGACCAGACAAAGGCUUUGAAUUGUGCCUGAUGUAUUUUUUUAAUGCACAGUAAAUAGG
rnacentral:lncRNA from 10 species